GUGGGGAAUCUUGCGCAAUGGGCGAAAGCCUGACGCAGCCAUGCCGCGUGAAUGAUGAAGGUCUUAGGAUUGUAAAAUUCUUUCACCGGGGACGAUAAUGACGGUACCCGGAGAAGAAGCUCCGGCUAACUUCGUGCCAGCAGCCGCGGUAAUACGAAGGGGGCUAGCGUUGCUCGGAAUUACUGGGCGUAAAGGGCGCGUAGGCGGACAGCUUAGUCAGAGGUGAAAGCCCAGGGCUCAACCUUGGAAUUGCCUUUGAUACUGGCUGUCUUGAGUUUGGGAGAGGUGAGUGGAACUCCGAGUGUAGAGGUGAAAUUCGUAGAUAUUCGGAAGAACACCAGUGGCGAAGGCGACUCACUGGCCCGUUACUGACGCUGAGGCGCGAAAGCGUGGGGAGCAAACAGGAUUAGAUACCCGGGUAGUCC
rnacentral:rRNA from 1 species